AGCUUGACGAAGAUGGAUUCAAAAAGAGAUACAGUUUUCUUUACGAGGAUGAUCUUCCAGCAGAAAAAGAGGAUCUGAAGAAACAGAUGAGGAAAUCAAAUGAUCCGGAAGAGAUAAGUGAACUGAAAAAUCGCAUUGGUUGGAUUGACAAGCAAUUGAAAUCGGUAGGAUUGAAACACACUGAGAGAGAGAUUUUGGCAGAGCAUAAGAAGAAAGAGAGAGAAGCUGCUAAGCAAGGGAAACAACCUUAUUAUCUUAAAAAAUCUGAAAUUCGGCAGCGCAAACUUGUUGAGAAAUACAAGGAACUCAAAGCAUCAGGCAAACUGGAAGCAUAUAUCGAGAAGAAAAGGCGCAAGAAUGAGAAGAGAUAAAUGAACUGAAAAAUCGCAUUGAUUGGAUUGACAAGCAAUUGAAAUCGGCAGGAUUGAAGCACACUGAGAGAGAGAUUUUGGCAGAGCAUAAGAAGAAAGAGAGAGAAGCUGCUAAGCAAGGGAAACAACCUUAUUACCUCAAAAAAUCUGAAAUUCGGCAGCGCAAACUUGUUGAGAAAUACAAGGAACUCAAAGCAUCAGGCAAACUGGAAGCAUAUAUCGAGAAAAAAAGGCGCAAGAAUGCUGCAAAAGACCACAGAUACUUGCCAUAUCGGCGUCCUGGCUAGCAAGAGAACAAGUGAAAUGUCAGGUUUGCAUGCUGUAGCAAAUUUGUUUGCUUGGGUUCCUCGUCGCAUAUGGGCCUCUAACCACAGAUGCUCGUUGGUAUGCACGAACAUGGGCCCUCUCAUUCAAGAUGUAGAGGCAUUGGGGAGAGCCAGCUUCCUUUGUUACUUCAAAGGUGCAGCUACUCUUCCUAUUUAUACCUCGGUACAGCUAAUCUUGAUGAAAUGUACUAGUUAUACUUGAGAGCCUUGAAGAAAUAGUUAAUUUAUGAUAUCAAUAGCAAGUACACAAUGCCUGUAGUUGAUCAUACCUCAAGUGAGUUAUGUACCUUCAGUUUUGCUGAAAAAUUCUAUGAUGAUUAGUUGAUGGUAGAACAAGGGAACAUUUUUGAGUUUGUCGAUUGUAAUUGCUACUGGGUCUAUAUUUUUCUACUUGCUAAAAGAAUGAAACGGACAUUCCUGUUAAAGGAAAGCUGAACACUUCCUUUCAACAACUACUACCUAGUAAAAUC
rnacentral:lncRNA from 1 species